GACGAACGCUGGCGGCGUGCCUAAUACAUGCAAGUCGAGCGAAGUUUUUCUGGUGCUUGCACCGGAAAAACUUAGCGGCGAACGGGUGAGUAACACGUAAAGAACCUGCCUCAUAGACUGGGGCAACUAUUGGAAACGAUAGCUAAUACCGGAUAAUAGCAUUAACUGCAUGGUUGAUGUUUAAAAGUUGGUUUUGCUAACACUAUGAGAUGGCUUUGCGGUGCAUUAGCUAGUUGGUGGGGUAAAGGCCUACCAAGGCGACGAUGCAUAGCCGACCUGAGAGGGUGAUCGGCCACACUGGGACUGAGACACGGCCCAGACUCCUACGGGAGGCAGCAGUAGGGAAUCUUCCGCAAUGGGCGAAAGUCUGACGGAGCAACGCCGCGUGAGUGAAGAAGGAUUUCGGUUCGUAAAGCUCUGUUGUUAGGGAAGAAUGAUUGUGUAGUAACUAUACACAGUAGAGACGGUACCUAACCAGAAAGCCACGGCUAACUACGUG
rnacentral:rRNA from 1 species